CCUUCACUCUGGGACAAGCCCUGGAAACGGGGUCUAAUACCGGAUAACACUCCUGCCUGCAUGGGUGGGGGUUAAAAGCUCCGGCGGUGAAGGAUGAGCCCGCGGCCUAUCAGCUUGUUGGUGAGGUAGUGGCUCACCAAGGCGACGACGGGUAGCCGGCCUGAGAGGGCGACCGGCCACACUGGGACUGAGACACGGCCCAGACUCCUACGGGAGGCAGCAGUGGGGAAUAUUGCACAAUGGGCGAAAGCCUGAUGCAGCGACGCCGCGUGAGGGAUGACGGCCUUCGGGUUGUAAACCUCUUUCAGCAGGGAAGAAGCGAAAGUGACGGUACCUGCAGAAGAAGCGCCGGCUAACUACGUGCCAGCAGCCGCGGUAAUACGUAGGGCGCAAGCGUUGUCCGGAAUUAUUGGGCGUAAAGAGCUCGUAGGCGGCUUGUCACGUCGGUUG
rnacentral:rRNA from 2 species